UUUUAUAUUGCCGUAAUUGAUUCAGCUGAUGUAAUUUAGAUAUCGUUAUGUGUUUUCAUUAUAUUAUGUUACCAAUAUAAUCAUCAAUUAAAAUUUGAUAUGCUAAUGGUGUAACAGCUUAUAUCAAAUAUCAAAAACAAACUGAUUUACAACACAUUUCCAUCAACUACUUUAGAGGAAUUCCCAAUGUUAAAACACGCAGUUACGAUUUAAAAAUUGAUAGAUGUUGCCCAAUAAAUAUGCCUAAGAGUGAAAAAAUAAAAUUUUCAAACAAUUCUAAAAAAGCAUGUAUCAAAGAUGUUAAAAAAAAAAAAAAUGUUACAAAAAUCUUCUACCCGUAAAUCCGUGUCAUUGUGUUCAACUAUAUAAACAUGUUUACAGAGAGACACAAAGUAGUACCAGCCUGCCCUGAGUACACAUUACGCACGCGUAUGCCCAUAACCAUACCACAAUAAAAACAUAUUAUGCGUAUUUAAAACGGUGAAUCGUUUUAACAUUAUAAACGAAGUGUAAAUCUACUUGCUGGAUGACUGAAUAUCAAAAUGUAUAAUGGAAGUAAUCCGUACCGCAACAAAUACUAA